GCCAUUGUAGCACAACUGGUCUAGUGCAUUGCCUUCCUAUGCCCUCCAAGGGAACGCGUAGAAUAGGCAAAGGUUAUGGGUUCGAGUCCCAUCGAUGGUU